rnacentral:rRNA from 1 species
UAGCUAGUUGGUGGGGUAAGGGCCUACCCAGGCGACGAUCGGUGGCUGGUCUGAGAGGAUGGCCAGCCACACUGGAACUGAGACACGGUCCAGACUCCUACGGGAGGCAGCAGUGGGGAAUAUUGGACAAUGGGGGCAACCCUGAUCCAGCAAUGCCGCGUGUGUGAAGAAGGCCUGAGGGUUGUAAAGCACUUUCAGUGGGGAGGAGGUUUGAUUGGUUAAGAGCUGAUUGAAUGGACGUUACCUACAGAAGAAGCACCGGCUAACUCCGUGCCAGCAGCCGCGGUAAUACGGAGGGUGCGAGCGUUAAUCGGAAUUACUGGGCGUAAAGGGUGCGUAGGUUGUUUGAUAAGUUGUCUGUGAAAUUCCUGGGCUUAACCUGGGCAUGUCAGAUGAUACUGUUAGACUAGAGUAUAGGAGAGGGUAGUGGAAUUUCCGGUGUAGCGGUGAAAUGCGUAGAGAUCGGAAGGAACACCAGUGGCGAAGGCGGCUACCUGGCCUAAUACUGACACUGAGGCACGAAAGCGUGGGGAGCAAACAGGAUUAGAUACCCUGGUAGUCCACGCUGUAAACGAUGUCAACUAGCUGUUGGUUAUUUAAAUAUAAUUAGUGGCGC